ensembl:snRNA U6 U6 spliceosomal RNA
GUGCUCGCCUCGGCAGCACAUAUACUAAAAUUGGAAUGAUACAGAGAUUAGCAUGGCCCCUGCUCAAGGAUGACACGCAAAUUCGUGAAGUGUUCCGUACUUAA